rnacentral:lncRNA from 1 species
GCCGCGACUAUUUAACGCCCUUGAUUUCGACGUUCAAUCCCGAGCUCGUCUUAACGCUGAGCCAAGAAGCAAGAGAUUAAAUUUACGUAAUUUAAAAUUAGAGAAUACAGGAAGAAAAGAAUUUGAGUUAACUUUUUGCGUGGCUGAGAAAUACCGCCCAGAAUCUUCCUGGCAAGGACUAGAUUUGAAGUCUCACCAUCCAAUUAGGCACCCGUCGUCCUGACCAGGGGUCAGACGGAGGCAGAGGAAAGAAGGGGCUUGCUUUGUGUCAGUGCUGGGAGCUAGUCCAUCGUAAUUCCUCUUCAGUGCUCAAAAGACCACACCUGCUUUCCCCCAUAUCACCUGGAAAAAGUAUGAUGGAGGAAGAGGAAAUGAAAAUGUGAACUCAGGAUUCUUUUAAAGAUCACAUCUAGUUAUUUGAUCUGAUCUCU